rnacentral:rRNA from 1 species
UAAUUAGAAUGGAUUUAUUUCUUUUUCCCGAAACUUUAAGGGCUAAUUAAUUAUUAUUUUAUUGUGGUAUUAAUAUAUUAAAUAGUUAGUUUGUAAUAAAAUGUUAUUCGUUUAAGGUUAUAUCUGGUUUUUUAUGAAAUUAAUUUAAUUAAAUUAAUGUUAAUCAAAAUUUUAAAUAUUUAAAAUUUUGAUUACAUUUUUCAAUACUUUAUGGGAUGAGCUUUUAAGUAAAUGUUUAUAGAUAAUGUAAUUUUGAAUUGUUUAUAGGAUUGUUAAUGUCCAUUUUAAUAUUUUGUUAUAAUUAACUUUUCUGAUAAUUUUAUUUAUAUUUUUCUUAAAUUUUUUAAUAAAAUAAUAAUAAUAAUAAUUUUUGUUAUAUAAUAAUGAUUAAAUUAGUAUAGUAAUUUGUAUUUUUAAUAAUUUUAUUUAGUUUAAUAAAAGGAAUUCGGCAAAUAAGUUUCUCACCUGUUUAAUAAAAACAUGGCCUUUUGAUAAUUAUUUCAGGUCUAACCUGCCCACUGAGGUUUUAAAUGGCCGCGGUAUAUU